rnacentral:rRNA from 1 species
GGGGAAUAUUGGGCAAUGGGGGAAACCCUGACCCAGCAACGCCGCGUGAGUGAAGAAGGCCUUCGGGUUGUAAAGCUCUGUCGCAGGGGACGAAGAAAGUGACGGUACCCUGUGAGGAAGCCCCGGCUAACUACGUGCCAGCAGCCGCGGUAAUACGUAGGGGGCGAGCGUUGUCCGGAAUUACUGGGCGUAAAGGGUGCGUAGGCGGCUUGUUAAGUUGGAUGUGAAAUACCCGGGCUCAACCUGGGGGGUGCAUUCGAUACUGGCAGGCUAGAGUGCAGGAGAGGGAAGCGGAAUGACUAGUGUAGCGGUGAAAUGCGGAGAUAUGCGGAGGAACACCGAUGGCGAAGGCAAUCCCCUGGGCCUGCACUGACGCUCAUGCACGAAAGCGUGGGGAGCAAACA